GAUGAACGCUAGCGGCAGGCUUAACACAUGCAAGUCGAACGGGCGUAGCAAUACGUCAGUGGCAGACGGGUGAGUAACGCGUGGGAACGUACCUUUUGGUUCGGAACAACCCAGGGAAACUUGGGCUAAUACCGGAUAAGCCCUUACGGGGAAAGAUUUAUCGCCGAAAGAUCGGCCCGCGUCUGAUUAGCUAGUUGGUGAGGUAACGGCUCACCAAGGCGACGAUCAGUAGCUGGUCUGAGAGGAUGAUCAGCCACAUUGGGACUGAGACACGGCCCAAACUCCUACGGGGAGGCAGCAGGUGGGAAGUAUUGGACAAGUGGGCGCAAGCCUGAUCAGCCAUGCCGCGUGAGUGAU
rnacentral:rRNA from 1 species